GGUUCAGGAUGAACGCUAGCUACAGGCUUAACACAUGCAAGUCGAGGGGCAGCAUGUCGUGUGCUUGCACACGAUGAUGGCGACCGGCGCACGGGUGCGUAACGCGUAUCCAACCUUCCCGCAAGCCGGGGAUAGCCCGGCGAAAGUCGGAUUAAUACCCGAUGUGGUGCUUUGAGGACAUCUGACUGGCACUAAAGGCUUGCCGCUUGCGGAUGGGGAUGCGUACGAUUAGGUAGACGGCGGGGUAACGGCCCACCGUGCCAUCGAUCGUUAGGGGUUCUGAGAGGAAGGUCCCCCACACUGGUACUGAGACACGGACCAGACUCCUACGGGAGGCAGCAGUGAGGAAUAUUGGUCAAUGGGCGUGAGCCUGAACCAGCCAAGUAGCGUGCAGGACGACGGCCCUACGGGUUGUAAACUGUCUUUUAUGCGGGGAUAAAGUGAGGGACGUGUCCCUCUUUGCAGGUACCGCAUGAAUAAGGACCGGCUAAUUCCGUGCCAGCAGCUGC
rnacentral:rRNA from 1 species